AGGGCAGAGAAUUUCCCUUGGCACAUCUAAGUUUUUGGUUUUAUGCAACAACCGCUUUACUUGGGUAAUAGCUAAAAAAUCGAUUAAAAAAAAAAAAAAAAAACACGGAACAGACCAUGGAUGAAUGACGAGUAAUAUUUCUUCUUAAUGUCUGCUCCUGGAUCCCCAAACUCCUUCUCAGCAUACCCACGUUCUUCCACAUCCCUUUCUGGUUCUGUGUCAAACUCAAUGCUCUUCCCUUCUCACUGCUGCAAAAACUCAGACUACAAAUAAGAAGGCCCCCUUUCUCAAGGAGACAGUAAUCAACUUCCUAUUUCCUGUGUAUUAAUUCACCAAGGUUAAAGGACAAAUUUAAAAAGAGGGUAUUAUUCUAAAUCACUGCUACAUAUGCAAUCAAACUAGAGAACUACUUUCUUGAUUAGAAAAAUAUACAAGUGGACGCCCACUGCCAUGGCGACUCUGCUGCGCCCUGUCCUGCGCCGGCUCCGCGGGCUCCGCGGGCUUCCCGGCCUCCUGCGGCUUGCAGCACAAAUGCCUCUCCGGGCCAGGAGCGACGGCGCCGGCGCCGGCCCGCUGUACUCGCAACCACAUCCCCACCUCCCCGCUGCAGAAAGCGCUGCUGGCCGCCGGCUCCGCGGCAAUGGCGCUCUAUGACCCCUGCCGCCACGACAUGGUCGCAGUUCUAGGGGAGACCACAGGACACCGCACCCUGAAGGUCCUCAGGGACCAGAUGAGGAGGGAUCCAGAGGGUGCCCAGAUCCUGCAGGAGCGUCCCCGGAUUUCGACGUCCACCCUCAGAGCCUGCCAGAAGGCUCCCUGGGUCGCGAGUAUCUCCGUUUCCUGGAUGUGAAUAGGGUCUCCCCAGACACCCGAGCACCCACCCGCUUCGUGGAUGAUGAUGAGCUAGCGUAUGUGAUUCAGCGAUACCGGGAGGUGCACGACAUGCUUCACACCCUGCUGGGGAUGCCCACCAACAUCCUGGGGGAGAUGGUGGUGAAAUGGUAUGAGGCUGUCCAGACUGGUCUGCCCAUGUGCAUCCUGGGUGCUCUCUUUGGACCGAUCCAACUCAGUACUCAGAGCCUGCAAGUGCUGGUCUCGGAGUUGAUCCCAUGGGCCGUUCAGAACGGGCGCACAGCCCCAUGUGUCUUCAACCUGUACUAUGAGCGGCGCUGGGAGCAGUCCCUGAGGGCUCUACGGGAGGAGCUGGGCAUUGCGGCACCACCCGUGCAUAUCCAGGGCUUGGCCUGAGUUCCUGGGCCAGCGGGGCCUGGCCUACUUCCCCCAUCUACUGCUUCCCUUGGGGGCAGAGGGCUCCCUUGACUACCUUUGUUCCUCUUCUUUGAACACUGACCCUUGGACAACAUUUAUCACAAUUUGUUAUAGCCACUGCUGAGUGGCCUUGAGGACGAACCCCACAGGGAGCAAGCAGUACAGAGGCACUCCCAGGGGGACCAGCAGCUGUCCAAGGAGAACCAUGCGUGAACAGUAUCAGUCGUCUGGGCUCAUGCUGGGAUGUUGCAGCACUCCUGUUGCGACUCCUUCCAACCAGCCAGGUUUGCUGGAGGCCAGGCUGGGUGUCCUCACAGGAGUGAGUGCUACACCCAAUUCCAAAAGCCCGAGAAGAGAGAAGCGGAGGGGGAGGCGAGUGUGUGAAUAAAGGCUCCCAUCAGGUCAAAAAAAAAAAAAAAA